rnacentral:misc_RNA from 1 species
CUGAUUUGCUUAAUUGCACCACAUGUGUUUUUCUUUGAAACAAACUUGCUUUGGCGGUGGGCCCAGCCUGCCGCCAGAGGUCUAAACUUACAACCAAUUUUUUAUCAACUUGUCACACCAGAUUAUUACUAAUAGUCAAAACUUUCAACAACGGAUCUCUUGGUUCUCGCAUCGAUGAAGAACGCAGCGAAAUGCGAUACGUAAUAUGAAUUGCAGAUAUUCGUGAAUCAUCGAAUCUUUGAACGCACAUUGCGCCCUCUGGUAUUCCGGAGGGCAUGCCUGUUUGAGCGUCGUUUCUCCCUCAAACCGCUGGGUUUGGUGUUGAGCAAUACGACUUGGGUUUGCUUGAAAGACGGUAGUGGUAAGGCGGGAUCGCUUUGACAAUGGCUUAGGUCUAACCAAAAACAUUGCUUGCGGCGGUAACGUCUACCACGUAUAUC